CUUCAGCGAGCCGAGCAGCACGGGCUGCUCGCGGUCCUGCCCGUAGGUGGCGAGCAGGGCCUGCGCCUC
rnacentral:antisense_RNA from 1 species